AAUGGUAGUCAUAGCGAGGGGGAGACACCUUUUCCCAUUCCGAACAGAGCAGUUAAGCCCCUCAGCGCCGAUGGUACUACGAAAGUGGGAGAGUAGGUCACUGCCAACC
rfam:Saprospira grandis str. Lewin, complete genome.